AUGGGUCAGCAGGGGCAACCGCCUCAGGCCAUACAUAACCAACAGGAAGUUUACAGGCAACAACCGGUGCAACAUCUCCAAAAUGUUACUGCACCUAUACAUCAGACUCAACAGCCAUUUGGAAAUAUACCAUAUCAGCAAGGGAGGCCCUAUCAGCCUUCAACAGCACCAAAUCUUGUACAAGGAAUGACUCAAUCAGGGUAUUAUGACACAGCUCCACACUUGCCAGUGUACCCACAACAACAGCUGUACAAUAACCGUCCACACACUCAGUUUCAGGAUCAACGCAGUAUGUCUAGUAUUACGAGCUGCUCAAAUAGUGAUUCUGAUUCAUCUAGUUCUACAUCAGGGGUAGUGUAUCGUCGGAGUCGUCAUAAGAGUAGAAGCAACAAAACACAUUCUAGACUCAGUAUAUCAAGCAGACAUGUUUCACCAGUGGAGGAGGAGGCUAGUGAACACUCAUCGCCACACCGAAAGAAUUCAGGCAAGAAGCAUGACAAAAGGAGGUCAGACAGACAUGGUCAGUCGGAAACGGAUGGUCACCAUUCCUCAAGCAACCGUCAUAGAGCGAAGCCAGCUCCAAUGAAACAGGACAAGAAAUUUUUCUUUUCGGUGCCCAAGAACCUUAAGUACACAGGGAAAGGCAACUGGAAGGCAUUUUACACAAAGUUCACCGGGUACGCUGAGGCUGCCGGUUGGACGGACAAACAAAAACGAGAACAGCUUUGUUGGUGCUUGGAGGACAAAGCUAGUGAUUUUUAUACAGUGCUACUGGAAUCCAACAAAGACAUUGCUUUUAGUACAGUAGUGACUAAAAUGGUGAAACGCUUUGGUUUUCAAGAACCACAAGAAACUUCACAGAUACAGUUUCAGACUAUUACCCAAAAGACAGAGGAAUCCCUGGCGGUUUGGGCGGAUCGUGUGUUAUCUCUGGCAACACAAUCCUUCAAAGACCUCUCUGAAGAGUACAUGACAAAACAAGCAGUAAUGAAAUUUUGUCAAGGUUGCAACGACCCAGAGGCUGGACAACACGCAUGUGGAUUCAAACCAGUAUCGGUUGAAAAUGCAAUUGAUAUAAUUAAGUGGUAUCAGCAUUCAAGAAAGGCUGUGCAAGCCCACAUUGCUCAAGGAAAAACACAUGCAAUCAAACAGGCGUCAGCUCCAACACCAACAGCACAAGUUAGUGACACACCAUCAGUGCACGGGGUAGGCUCGUCUAAAUCAAACAUAGACACACGAGUAUCUCAAAUGGAGCAACAGCUUCGUCAACAACGAGAAGAGCAACAACAGAGCAUGCAACAGAUGCAAAGCCUACUGUCAUCAAUGGCUUCACUUACAGAGGAAAUGCGACAUUCAAACAGAUCUAGUGGUACUUCGCCCAGUCGGGACUAUAGAUCAGAUAAUACCUCACGUGGACGUGGUCAAGGUAGAAGAGGUGGUUAUAAUAAUCGUGCUGGUAACCGCAGGUCACAAACCCCAGACGGGGCAUGUUUUUAUUGUCAUGAACUAGGACAUUUCAAAAGAGAUUGCCCAAAGUUAAAUAGCUCACCUGGCAGCAAACCGCCAACUCAUGUCUGGAUACUUUGGCUGGAAACAUAUGGUAUUCCAAACUGGACGCUAAUAGCGCAUAUUGGCAAAUAAAGAUCAAGCCAGAGGACCGUAAGAAGACCGCAUUUGUCACCAAAUAUGGAUUGUUUGAGUGCGUCAAGAUGGCUUUUGGACUUUGCAACGCACCAGGUACUUAUGCCAGAGUGAUGAACCUUGUCCUCAGAGGUUUAACGUGGAAAACUGUUUUGGCCUUCCUUGAUGACAUAACGGUUUUAGGACCAUCUUUUGAUGAACAUCUCACUAACCUACAAAAUGUAUUUGCUAGAUUUCGAGAGUAUGGACUUAGAUUAAAGCCUAAAAAGUGUGCUCUGUUCAGAACAAGUGUAGAAUUUUUAGGCAGGAGUGUCAGUAACCAGGGCCUCCAAAUAGGCCAGCAACAUUUGCAACCAGUUAGUGGUUGGGUGGUGCCUACUUGCACAAAGGAAGUUGAACAGAUCCUGGGAUUUGUGAACUACCACCGUUCAUUUAUCAAGGACUAUGCCAAAAUAUCUGCUCCACUGUAUGAAGUGACAGGAAAAAAUUUGUUUUCAUGGAACCAUGAACGUCAACUUGCAUUUCAGACGUUAAAAGACAACUUGCUAUCUGCACCAGUACUUACUUUGCCUAACAACAAGGAUUAUUUCAUCCUGGAUACGGACGCCUCCCAAAAUGCAAUAGGCGCAGAACUCAUUCAGGUUCAAGAUGGAGAGGAACGGACCAUAGCAUAUGGUAGCUUUGUACUUACAGCCGAACAAAAACGUUAUUGCACAACUAGAAAGGAGUUGUUGGCGGUAAUUAGAUUUACUAGACAGUUCAGACACUACCUUCUGGGAAGACAAUUCACGGUGAGGACAGACCAUAGUAGUUUGACAUGGCUUGUCAAUUUCAAAGAGCCCCAGGGCAAUUAGCUAGAUGGUUGGAAGAGCUCAGCCAAUAUGACCUGGUCAUAAAGCAUAGGCCAGGUAAACAACACAUUGAUGCAGAUGUCUUGUCUCGUCUCCCGGAUAGGUUAAAAGAAUGUCCACAUUAUACUGCAGACACCAUACUGGCAAGUUUACCUUGCAAGGGCUGUAAUUACUGCCAGCGAGCACAUCAAAGUUGGGCACAGUUUUUAUGUGAUGUAGAUGAAGCAGUCCCACUGGCUAGAAAAAGGAAGCAAAAGCCAAGAUUACUUAAAAGAGUAGCAACAGCAAUGAUGAUGUUAUUUGAAACUCCAGAAAAGGUUUCAACCUUGGAACAACCUGCAGUACCAGUUGAAUCUGCAGUUAAGGAAGACUGCUGUCACACUAGCAGCUUAAACGCAAUUGAGCCAAAAGCAAGCCAGUCGUCUGAGGAAUGUGAUUUACCACCAUUCAGUACAGGUAUGGAAUUGAUUUUUACUCCAUCAACGGCAAGAAUUGUAAUGGAUGACUCUUCUGAUUGUGUCGUGGCAGCAAUCGCCCAAGAAGAGGGCAUAACUAUCUCAGGUUUCAGUGAAGAGGAUAUAAAAACAGGCCAAGAGAGUGAUCUAGACUUGAUGUUUAUCCUCCCGUAUUUAAAAGAUGGCUGUGAACCACUAUCCAAUGAUUUGUUCCUGGCACCACCAGCAGCCAAGAGUCACUGGAUUAAUAAAGAAAGAUUUUUCUUAGACGACAAUGGUAUUUUAAAGAGUCAACCCAAAACAGAGGGAGCCAAUACAAGACUUGUUGUACCCGCUUCUUUAAGACAAACAGUAAUGGAGCUCUGUCAUGAACUGCCUAGUGCAGGACAUCAAGGUGUAUCAAGGACCAUGUCCAAGAUAAAGGACAAAUAUCACUGGUAUAACAUGACCAAAGACAUUAACUUGUUUGUACUUAGUUGUGAUACUUGUAACAAGAACAAGAAAGCGAGCAGACAUAGUAAAUGUCCUCUGACCAAGUACCAUGCUGGGUACCCUAUGGAAAGAGUCCACAUAGAUUUUAUGGGCCCUUUGCCAAAGACGAAACAAAACAAUGAACAUAUUUUAAUGAUGACAGACCAAUUCACCAAGUGGACGGAAUGUAUACCACUACCGUCACAAACGGCUGAAGUAACUGCUCAGGCGGCUAUUAAUGAGUUUUUUUACAAGAUUUGGCUAUCCAUUCCAGCUAUUCUCAGAUCAGGGACGUAA
rnacentral:sRNA from 1 species